UAUGCAUGCAGUGCUUUCGCGAAAAUUAGUCUUUUCUGGGUAUUUUUUUUCCCGUGAGAUAGACUUUCUCUCUCUCUCUCUCUCUCUCUCUCUCUCUCUCUCUCUCUCUCUCUCUCGGGUCAGAAAUGCAUAUCUCUCUCUCCCACUCUCCCCUCCUUAUCCUACCCUCCCCCAAGUCGUGCAUAGGCCUAUCUGGGUGUAUUAGGCGGCCUAGUAACAAAAUUAAGCUUUGUUGUGGGCCCGGAGUGUGGUGUGUUGCCAAGUGUACGAUAAUUACCAAGUGUUUAGGUGUUUAUGAUUUUUGAGUUUCUUUUCUUUCGUAUUUUUUGGGAGUUUUUGGGUAUGGAUGUAGUUGUUGUAUUUAAUUAGUUUAUUUUUUUUUGUUACUGAAGGUUUGGUUGAAUUUAUUUUAGUUUGUUUUAUUCGUUUCAGUUUUGUGUUUAUUUUCAAUCCGGUCUUAUUUCCCUUCGCUAUCUACCUAAAAUCACUAUUAAUACUACCCCUUUAUCAUUAAAAUCAAAACUAUCCUCACAAUUACCUCAAAAAACUAUCAUUUCCACUAUUUUCCCCAUUGCGUACGACAAUUCCUCCACCGUACGAAGCUCGGGCUAGCUGGACCCAGACCGAGACUUCUUUGUUUACAUUCAGACAAGGAAAAGAGGAGUAGGAAGGAGGAGACUGCUUGUGAAUUUUGCCUUAUUUCUCCCUUAUUUGAAGGGAAACCGUGCGUGUGCGGGUGCGCGCGGACAGAGAGAGAUUAGAAGGAAAGGAAGAAGAGAGAGAAAGAGAGGAGAAGAAAAGAAAUUAGAAUAAAGAAGAGGAAGAAGAGGAGGAAGAAACACACACACACACACACACACACACACACACACACACACACACACACACACACACACACAAGAAAACAAACAAACUAAAAACACACACACACACACACACACACAAGAAAACAAACAAACUAAAAAAACACACACACACACACACACACACACACACACACACACACACACACACACACACACACACCCACACAA